rnacentral:rRNA from 1 species
ACGCUAGCGAUAGGCCUAACACAUGCAAGUCGAGGGGCAGCACAUGAAGUAGCAAUACAGAUGGUGGCGACCGGCGCACGGGUGAGUAACACGUAUGCAACCUACCUUCCACAGGAGAAUAACCCGUUGAAAAACGGACUAAUCCUCCAUAAUACAGGGGUCCCGCAUGGGAAUAUUUGUUAAAGAUUUUUUUCGGUAGAAGAUGGGCAUGCGUUCCAUUAGCUAGUUGGUUGAGGUAACGGCUCACCAAGGCAACGAUGGAUAGGGGAACUGAGAGGUUUAUCCCCCACACUGGUACUGAGACACGGACCAGACUCCUACGGGAGGCAGCAGUGAGGAAUAUUGGUCAAUGGAGGCAACUCUGAACCAGCCACGUCGCGUGAAGGAUGACGGCCCUACGGGUUGUAAACUUCUUUUAUACAGGAAUAAAGUGAGUCACGUGUGACUUUUUGCAUGUACUGUAUGAAUAAGGAUCGGCUAACUCCGUGCCAGCAGCCGCGGUAAUACGGAGGAUCCAAGCGUUAUCCGGAUUUAUUGGGUUUAAAGGGUGCGCAGGCGGAAGAUUAAGUCGGCGGUGAAAUUUUGCAGCUCAACUGUAAAAGUGCCAUCGAUACUGGUUUUCUUGAGUGUGGAUGA